GAGCACGUAGGUGGGUUUGUAAGUCAGAUGUGAAAGCCUUCUGUCCAACGGAAGAAUUGCAUCUGAAACUGCGAGUCUUGAGUGUAGGAGGGGAGAAUGGAACUUCUGGUGGAGCGGUGAAAUGCGUAGAUAUCAGAAGGAACGCCGGCGGCGAAAGCGAUUCUCUGGCCUAUUACUGACACUCAGUGUGCGAAAGCUAGGGGAGCAAACGGGAUUAGAUACCCCGGUAGUCCUAGCCGUAAACGAUGGGCACUAAGUAGAGGGG
rnacentral:rRNA from 1 species